rnacentral:rRNA from 1 species
UACAGAGGUCCCAAGCGUUGUUCGGAUUCACUGGGCGUAAAGGGUGCGUAGGUGGUGAGGUAAGUCGGAUGUGAAAGCUCCGAGCUCAACUCGGAAAUGGCAUUGGAAACUACCUUGCUAGAGGGUUUGAGGGGGGACUGGAAUACUUGGUGUAGCAGUGAAAUGCGUAGAUAUCAAGUAGAACACCAGUGGCGAAGGCGAGUCCCUGGAAAACUCCUGACACUGAGGCACGAAAGCUAGGGGAGCAAACAGG